ensembl:misc_RNA
UAUCGGAGAAUAAUUUCUUUCUCGCUGAUCGCCUAACUUCUACUGACGAGGCUAGGAAGUUGCAGAAGC